rnacentral:rRNA from 1 species
CGCAUCUGUGCAUGCAGCAUAUCAAUAAGCGGAGGAAAAGAGGGCUAUUACCUACGCUUAGGAUGUUGACGCACGCGCGUGCUCGACUCUAUACAUGACUCUGUGCAUAUCAAUAAGCGGAGGAAAAGAAACUAACAAGGAUUCCCCUAGUAACGGCGAGUGAAGCGGGAAGAGCUCAAAUUUGAAAUCUUAAAGGGUUUCCCUUUACGAAUUGUAGUUUAAAGAAGUGUUUUCUGUUGAGGUUUUGGUAAAAGUUCUUUGGAAUAGGACAUCAUAGAGGGUGAGAAUCCCGUAUUUGACCUUUACUUUCAACUUUGUGAUACACUUUCAAAGAGUCGGAUUGUUUGGGAAUGCAGUCCAAAAUGGGUGGUAAAUUUCAUCUAAAGCUAAAUAUUGGCGAGAGACCGAUAGCGAACAAGUACCGUGAGGGAAAGAUGAAAAGAACUUUGAAAAGAGAGUUAAACAGUACGUGAAAUUGUCGAAAGGGAAGCGUUUGACACCAGUGUUGUUUUUCUGAAAAUCAAUUAAAGAACUGUUUAUGCUAAGUUGUUUAGACUUUAUCAGCUAACUGUUUAGUUUUGAGCUUUUCUUUAAUGCACUUUUCAGUUAACAAGUCAACAUCAAUUUCUUUUGCUGUAAAAAAGCUUGAGGAAGGUGGCUUGAGAUUCGUCUUAAGUGUUUAUAGCCUCUUGCCUAUGCAGUCGGAGAGAUUGAGGUCUGCAGCGUAGAUCCUUCGGGGCUAAAUGCACUUGUGCUAAGUUAUAGCAUUUUAUAGACAACUUGUUGACUAUGAUUUGUCUUGUAGCUUACUCGCUUAUGUUAUUUUACCUACGCUUAGGAUGUUGACAGCAGUAUAGACUGU